rnacentral:rRNA from 1 species
GAUGAACGCUGGCGGCGUGCCUAAUACAUGCAAGUCGAGCGAACAGACGAGGAGCUUGCUCCUCUGACGUUAGCGGCGGACGGGUGAGUAACACGUGGAUAACCUACCUAUAAGACUGGGAUAACUUCGGGAAACCGGAGCUAAUACCGGAUAAUAUAUUGAACCGCAUGGUUCAAUAGUGAAAGACGGUUUUGCUGUCACUUAUAGAUGGAUCCGCGCCGCAUUAGCUAGUUGGUAAGGUAACGGCUUACCAAGGCAACGAUGCGUAGCCGACCUGAGAGGGUGAUCGGCCACACUGGAACUGAGACACGGUCCAGACUCCUACGGGAGGCAGCAGUAGGGGAUCUUCCGCAAUGGGCGGAAGCCUGGCGGAGCAACGCCGCGUGAGUGAUGAAGGUCUUCGGAUCGUAAAACUCUGUUAUUAGGGAAGAACAAAUGUGUAAGUAACUAUGCACGUCUUGACGGUAACUAAUCAGAAAGCCACGGCUAACUACGUG